AUUAGCUAGUUGGUGGGGUAACGGCCUACCAAGGCGACGAUGCGUAGCCGACCUGAGAGGGUGACCGGCCACACUGGGACUGAGACACGGCCCAGACUCCUACGGGAGGCAGCAGUAGGGAAUUUUUCGCAAUGGGGGCAACCCUGACGAAGCAAUGCCGCGUGGAUGAAGAAGGCCUUCGGGUUGUAAAGUCCUUUCGUGGGGGACGAAAAGGCGGGUCCUAAUACGAUCUGCUGUUGACGUGAACCCAAGAAGAAGCACCGGCUAACUCCGUGCCAGCAGCCGCGGUAAUACGGGGGGUGCAAGCGUUAAUCGGAAUCACUGGGCGUAAAGGGUGCGUAGGCGGUACGUUAGGUCUGUCGUGAAAUCCCCGGGCUCAACCUGGGAAUGGCGGUAGAAACCGGCGCACUAGAGUAUGGGAGAGGGUGGUGGAAUUCCAGGUGUAGCGGUGAAAUGCGUAGAGAUCUGGAGGAACAUCAGUGGCGAA
rnacentral:rRNA from 1 species